CUCACGCAAUCUCUCCCCCUCUUCUCUUUUCUUCUCUUCCCAUGUGCACGCCUUCCUCUUCUUCUCAUUUCAUUCCUUUCCUCUCUACUUCCAUUUCUCCUUUCUUCUCCACACGCCCGAGAGAGAGAUUGAAAAUGAGAGCUUCUAAGAGAGAGAAACUUGCAGAGAUGGAGAGAGUGAUUGAUGCCGAGAGAUAGGGAGAUCGUGAACCCGAGUGAGACUCGAUCUUUUCAGACUAGAUGUCGCCGGUGAAGCAAAUAGGAGGCGAUUUUUGGCGUUCUUGGCCCGAUUUCCCAAUGGGUUUUAGGUGGGUGACAUCGACGAAACCAACGCACGAUUUCGGUGGACUGUGGUGCAAAUUCCAACGUUUUUUCAGUAGUUUUCCUGAGAAAAUCCUCAAGAUGAUGUUCGUUUGGCUGCAGGUAUUUUGGUAUAGUUGAUGGUUUGGUAGCAGUGUACAUGGGAUGUUAUGACAGAAGCACGUCGCGACGGUCGUAAUUGCUGGACCGCGGGUGUCCACUGAUUUAUAGGUUUGGUGUAUGUCUUGUGACGCUUGUGUCACAUAUUCUUUGUAAAGCCAUUCUUUAAUGUAAUUACUAUUUUGAUAAGCCUUAAAUAGAUAGACAUUAUGGCUCUUUUUGUGUAAUUAUCAGUCUAUGUAUAUAGAUAUGACUUCUGCUGUUCAAAUUAUGUUUUCCA